rnacentral:rRNA from 1 species
UAGGGAAUAUUGGACAAUGGGUGAGAGCCUGAUCCAGCCAUGCCGCGUGCAGGAAGAAGGCGUUAUGCGUUGUAAACUGCUUUUUGCCAGGGGAUAAAAUGAGCGUGCGCGCUUAAUUGAAGGUACCUGGUGAAUAAGCCACGGCUAACUACGUGCCAGCAGCCGCGGUAAUACGUAGGUGGCAAGCGUUGUCCGGAUUUAUUGGGUUUAAAGGGUGCGUAGGUGGCCCUGUAAGUCAGUGGUGAAAUAUCUCAGCUUAACUGAGAGGGUGCCAUUGAUACUGCAGGGCUUGAGUACAGAUGAGGUAGGCGGAAUUGACGGUGUAGCGGUGAAAUGCAUAGAUAUCGUCAAGAACACCGAUAGUGAAGGCAGCUUACCAAGCUGUAACUGACACUGAGGCACGAAAGUGUGGGGAUCAAACAGGAUUAGAUACCCAUGUAGUCCCUGAGCGGGCUGGCAAGGCG